AAUAUUUCAUUGAAGUACAAAAAUAAUUUUUUAAGCUAAACUGCAUAUGGUAAUCCAAGUACAUUGUGACAAAAAAAAUAAACCUAAAAGUUACUAACCAACCAUCAUCAAAUUAAGCAACAACGCCACAACACCAAUGCACUAUUUUAUUAAAGCUAGGAAACUAGGCCAUAGUGACUUAAAAAAGAGGUGACCAAGUCGGUGCCAGCAGUCGCGGUUACACCUACACCUCAAAUUAAUUUAAUCUUACAAAAGUAUCAUUAAUUUCAUGAUCCCACAAUAAAUCUAAUAAGUAAAAAAUAAACCAGACCCAAACCCAAAAGGAUCUUUAUCAUGUAACUUAACAAACCGCAACCCUAGAACCCGGAUUAGAUACCCGAUUACUACGCGGCACAACAUUUAGAAAACUAAAAACGAAAGUUUAAACCUCAAACAAUGUGGCGGUGUUUCACUCCAUAUCAGGGGAUCCUGUUUCAUAACUCGAUAAUCCACGAAUAACCGAAGCUAUUUUAGCAUCCAGCUUGUGUAUGGCCGCUUCAGCUCGCUUACUAAAAAUAAAAAAGGGAGCCAUAGAUAAUAACUCAAAAAUCCAGGUAACAUACAGCCAAUGAAUAGCCGACAAUGGGAUACAAAUACAUACCAAUACUAGAACUGGUAAUGAAAAACCCAGUAAAAGAGGACUUGAAAGUAAGAUUACCCUACAUCAUAGUGAUCUGAACAUAGAACUGAAACGCGCACAAAUCGCCCGUCAUUCCUACAACAAAAGUGGGACAAGUCGUAACACAGUUGGGGUAAUGGAAAUUGCCCCUAUCGUA
rnacentral:ncRNA from 1 species